rnacentral:rRNA from 1 species
GGGUGGACAGGGAGGACAGGUGGUGGCAUGGUUGUCGUCAGCUCGUGUCGUGAGAUGUUGGGUUAAGUCCCGCAACGAGCGCAACCCCUACGUUUAGUUGCUAACGCGUGAAGGCGAGCACUCUAGACGAACUGCCGUUGACAAAACGGAGGAAGGUGGGGAUGACGUCAAAUCAUCAUGCCCCUUAUGUUCUGGGCUACACACGUGCUACAAUGGCCGGUACAGACGGACGCAAAGCCGCGAGGUGGAGCAAAUCCUAAAAAGCCGGUCUCAGUUCGGAUUGCAGGCUGCAAUUCGCCUGCAUGAAGUCGGAAUCGCUAGUAAUCGCAGGUCAGCAUACUGCGGUGAAUACGUUCCCGGGCCUU